CAUUCCUUCUUGCCUUUCUUUUCUUUCCCUUGUUCUUUCUUCCCCUUUCUUCGUUCUCACGCAUGCUAGACCGGGAGUAGUGAUUGAGAGAGGGACACAGAGAUCAGGCCGUGAGAGAUGCAAUUUUGAGAGGGAGAUUCCGAGCAUGACGCAGAGAAGAAAAGAAGUAGAAGAGAAAAAGAAGGAGGAGUUCGGCCAUGGGGGAGAAACCAAGGAAAAUCAGCAAGGAUAGAGUUUGGAUUUGAGACUUCAAUUGGUUCUCCAAUGUAGAGUUCGAGUCAUAAGUCCAAUGCAGCCAGAUGAUGUUCCUUUGGCUGCAGGUAUUCCGGUCGUAGUUGAUAGCGUUGUAGAAGGGUACUUUGGAUGUUAUGACUGAAGCACGCCGUAACGGUCGUAAUUGGUGGACCACGGGUUGUCCACUUGUUUAUAAGUUUGGUUUAUGGCUUGUGACAUUUGUGUCACUUAUUCCUGUAAAGCCAUUUCUGUUAUAUAUUUAUAUCGAGGAAAGACUUAAACAGAUAGAUGUAAAAUGGCUCUUUGUUUAUGAUUA